AAACCAUGCAUCAAACAUUUUUUGCAGCAAAUCUUUAAAUCACUCACAAGCUUCAUAAAGGUUUUCAUCUUCCAUUUUAUUGAAAGAUGUGAUGUCAUUUCUCAGCCU